rnacentral:rRNA from 1 species
GACGAACGCUGGCGGCGUUCCUAAUACAUGCAAGUAGGACGCAGUUGCGAACGGGUGAGUAACGCGUAGGUAACUACCUAUUAGUGGGGGAUAACUAUUGGACACGAUAGCUAAUACCGCAUCCUAGUAGAUGGACCUGGGUUGUCGUAGCUAGUAGGUAGGGUAAUGGCCUACCUAGUCAACGAUACAUAGCCGAACUAGUAGGGUGGUCGGCCACACGGGGACGAGGACACGGCACAGACACCGACGGGAGGCAGCAGUAGGAAAAGGUCGGAAAUGGGGGGAACCCUGACCGAGCAACGCCGCGGUAGUGAAGAAGGUUUGCGGAUCGUAAAGCUCUGUUGUUAAGGAAGCGGUACUUAACCAGAAAGGGACGGCUAACAACGUGCGAGCAGCCGCGGGAAUA